rnacentral:rRNA from 1 species
CAGUCGCCGCGGUAAUGCAGAGGAUGCAAGCGUUAUCCGGAAUGAUUGGGCGUAAAGCGUCUGUAGGUGGCUUUUCAAGUCCGCCAUCAAAUCCCAAGGCUCAACCCUGGACAGGCGGUGGAAAAUACCAAGCUGGAGUACGGUAGGGGCAGAGGGAAUUUCCGGUGGAGCGGUGAAAUGCGUUGAGAUCGGAAAGAACACCAACGGUGAAAGCACUCUGCUGGGCCGACACUGACACUGAGAGACGAAAGCUAGGGGAGCAAAUGGGAUUAGAUACCCCCGUAGUCCCUGUCUCUUAUAC